GACGAACGCUGGCGGCGUGCUUAACACAUGCAAGUCGAACGGGUCUGCCCUGUUUUUUGCGGGGUGGGUCAGUGGCGAACGGGUGAGUAACACGUGAGUAACCUGCCCCUCACUUCUGGAUAACCGCUUGAAAGGGUGGCUAAUACGGGGUGUUCUGGCUGUGCCGCAUGGUGUGGCUGGGAAAGAUUCACUUUUGUGGUGUUUUGGUGGGGAUGGGCUCGCGGCCUAUCAGCUUGUUGGUGGGGUGACGGCCUGCCAAGGCUUUGACGGGUAGCCGGCCUGAGAGGGUGGGCGGUCACACUGGGACUGAGAUACGGCCCAGACUCCUGCGGGAGGCAGCAGUGGGGGGUAUUGCACAAUGGGCGGAAGCCUGAUGCAGCGACGUCGCGUGAGGGAUGGAGGCCUUCGGGUUGUGAACCUCUUUCGCCGGUGAAGAAGGUCCUGCUCUUUGUGGUGGGGUUGACGGUAGCCGGGUUAUGAAGCGCCGGCUAACUACGUG
rnacentral:rRNA from 1 species